GGAGCCAUGGCACAAUCCGGUACUGCAACGGACUCGAAAUCCGUCGAACCUGUUUACGCAGGUGUACGAGUUCAAAUCUCGUUGGCUCCU
rnacentral:tRNA from 2 species